rnacentral:rRNA from 1 species
AUUGAACGCUGGCGGCAGGCCUAACACAUGCAAGUCGAGCGGAUGAAGGGAGAUUUUUCCUGGAUUCAGCGGCGGACGGGCGAGUAAUGCCUAGGAAUCUGCCUGGUAGUGGGGGAUAACGUCCGGAAACGGGCGCUAAUACCGCAUACGUCCUGAGGGUGAAAGGGGGGGAUCUUUGGACCUCACGCUAUCAGAUGAGCCUAAGUCGUAUUAGCUAGUUGGUUGGGUAAAGGCCUACCAAGGCGACGAUCCGUAACUGGUCUGAGAGGAUGAUCAGUCACACUGGAACUGAGACACGGUCCAGACUCCUACGGGAGGCAGCAGUAGGGAAUCUUCCGCAAUGGGCGAAAGCCUGACGGAGCCACGCCGCGUGUGUGAAGAAGGUCUUCGGAUUGUAAAGCACUGUUAUUUGGGAGGAAGGGCAGUAAGUUAAUACCUGGCUGUCUUGACGGUACCAACAGAAAAAGCCCCGGCUAACUUCGUG